rnacentral:tRNA from 1 species
UGGGAUGCUACAUUGUUAAUGGUCGGGAUAGCUCAGCUG